AUAUGCAAAGAAGGCUAAUAAGAAUCCUUAAUGUAAAAUAAUGAGAUAGUGUCCUCCUUCAAUUAACGCUUUCCUUAUCUUUCACUGUAGAACUUUCUGACAUGGUGAAGAGAGCUGAAUAACCGAACAUUCUCUUCUCCGGUUCUCUUCUCCGAUACCGAUUUGUGAGAAAACACAUUGAAGAGUUGAAGUCAUCGAAGAAAUGAUCUGGAGAGUUGAAGAGUUGAAGUCAUCCAAGAACUUAUCGAUGAGCUUGUCUCUCUGAUAACAAUUUCUUCAAAAUUUUCCCAAGCUUUGUUUGAGCCCGAGAUUCUGCCCAGAAUUCGCAUCCAUCGUUCGUGUUCGAGGCUCAUGAUGAAGAUCAGUUCCCUGCUCGUCCGUUCUAAUUCACUGCCGGAAGAAAGACAAUGUAUAGAUAUGGAUGCAAGGAACAACUCGAGUAUUGACAAAAGAGCAUGCAGAAAAAGAGGAAUGAGUGUUGCAGGAGUUCCGAAAAUAAAAGAGGGAUAUAAUCCAGCUACUUGGAUAUUGGAUAUCACCAUUCCAGCAGUUGAGGGUCAACUAAAUGUGUAAUUUGGAGACAUUUACGUGAACUCAGAUCUAUAUAGCCAGAUUUGGUGCUCUUUACAGGCAUGUCUUCUAAAUAUCUCCCAUCUAUUUAUCCACAAUGCAUACUACAUAGUUAUUGUAUUCUUUUAAGUACUAUUUUUCAUUCAUUAGCAAUGUUUGAUUGGAAGAAUUAUCAGUUCACUUCAUUUUGCCCUUGCUUCAGGGGAUUUAGGGAAUGAAAGUGUGGAUCUGGUCCGAAGCAUUACAGAUCUAGAGAUCACUAAAGUUGUUAUUCUACGGAACUCAAAAGUUCUCUGGGAAGUGAGUCCAAAGUUCCAUUUUACCAGACUGCUAAGAGGAAAAACAUCACUUUCUCAAUAAUUUUCCAUCAUUGUUGGAAUUCAACUAUGGUAGAUAGGGUGGUCGGAUCAGUGUUGUUGUUUGAUAAAGGUUGUUGUUGAUAAUGGCAAAUGGGUUGACAACUGUGGUAGUGUGUGAGUAGGACUAAUUAGCAUUGAUUUUGGUGGUAGAGCCCUUGAAAAAUCAUUGAUAAAUUUAAAGGAUGUUUUCCUUGAACAUAACGUCCUCAGAACUUCGAGCAUUAACUGUGAACAACAUCAAUAACUUGAAAAUAUGAAAUAUCAAAAAAGGAUGAAACAUAUUGUUAGGCUCAUUUUUUCGGUCCACUUAUUUGGCAUGUCUGAAAAAAUUAGUUUUCUCUAAUGGUGAGAUGUAAUACCUCUUAACUAGUGUUUUGAAUUCAUACACUUCUUUUCUUUUCUUAGCAUGUGCUUACAAUUUGUAGGGAAAGAGAUGUUCAACUUCAGCUUGAAUGGUAUGUCUUCCGAGAUAUAUAAUUUUAGUUUCAAUAAAUCUAUACAUUUAUAUAUGCUAAAUAGAAUAGCGAUGUGCUUAUUUAUGAUGUUUAGGAAUGUCAGUUUCUCACUCUGGCAUGACCUUCCAUCUUGUGUUCCUCACAAUCUCAAUACCACUUUGUCUCAGAAGUAAGGAAGAUAGAUUAUAGGAUAGGUCAUUGCUAGAUAAAAAAUAAAUCGCCAGGAUCAAGAAAGGUCCUCUUGGUACAUCUGCUAGUAGUUUGAAUAUGUGCAUUCAACACAUGUACCCAAGUAGGUUAUGGAAAAAGAAAAGAUCACGCAGCAGAAACAUGUGCAUGUCUGCACAUCUAGAAAAUAUUUGUUGUUGAUAGAAAAUAUAACAAUAUAAUUAUAAAGAAUGGGAACUCUUUUAUGGAAAACUAUAAAUUUAUUCUCCACAAGUAAUCCGAACUAAAACGUAGAUUCUGUGUUUUUUGAAUUAGUCUUUCUCGGCACCAAGGAGUCAUGGUUAAUAUAACCCCAUAUCAAUGAUCAAAGAUUGAUUCUAAGAUUCUGGCUCGUGUUGCAAAGUUUUCUCAUAAAAUUUAACUAUCCGGCGUAUGAAUUUGUCAGAUGGUUCAAUUCGUUGGAUUCUUAUUUGAUCUUGGAAAGUAUUAGGGCAUCAACUACUAAACUACAUUGUAUACAAUUUUACUCAUCAUAAUUGAGGGGAAAACAAAGAGUAAGAUUGAUUUGUAAGCCUGGUCAUAACCAAAAAAAAAUCAUGAUAUAACAUCGCUUCGUAUCCAUAUUCUGAAGGACAAUUUCCUUUUUUUUACUUUACCUUGUUAUCUUCUUGAUUAAAGAGCUAGAUACCAGAAAAAUGAAUCGGACAGAUAAGUCCUUCCCAUAAUAAAGGAUUUCUGUCUUGACCUGUUUUAUGUCCUAAUAUAAUAAAAGAAAAAGUAACUUAUACCGUAAAAUCUUGUUGGCAUGCUGAAAAUUCAUAAUGUGUCAGUCUUGGUGAUGAGCAUGUUAGUUAGCGUCGGGUGGAUCUCCCUGUGCUAAAAUUGAGUAUUGUUGGUGGACGACCUUAUUCCGUAAACAACUUCUCCCUAUAUUGGCAAUGUUUGAGUUUCCACUUUUUUGGUAGUACUUGUUUAGGUUUGCUAUGUUAGUCAUUUCUGAUGUGUUAGGUCCUAGAUAUGGCUGCACGCUUCACAUGUUGUGAUCAGCCCUUGCUAUUUAUUUUAUGUUGGUUUGAGGUUUAUAAUUGGGCUCUCUCUUGCAAUGUGUGUGUCUUGACAGUAUUGGAUGAGUACGAUGAUUAUUGCGCUUGUCAAUGGGACAACUGCUUGAUUGAGGAAUAUAGAUGGUGGUGCUACUCAACUUAUUAUUCCUUUUCUCUAAGAAAUAAUGCAUAAUGUAAGGUCGGACUCAUUUUAUACUUGGAGAAUGGCAUAUUUGUUUCAUGGAUCUCUUCACGCUGUUAUGGAAUUUUAGUGUUGCGUUAUCAUUAGAUGUUUGGUAUGUUCUCUCUUAGUCUGAACAUGCUAAUUCCUCCUUGUUUUGUCCAAUUGAAGAUUAUCUGCUGAGUGCUUCUAUUCUUUGAAAGAAUGGUAGCUUUAUGUUUAUUGCUUCAUGUAGUUUUUAGAUUUCAAUAAAGAUACAAUUCAUGCGGUGUGACUUGUGAGGUAUAUUUGCAGAUCGGUUUCAAUAGUUGCUGGAGCACUUCAUUUUUAGUAAAUUUAUUAUUUUUUCUCUUUUAUUUGUGGUUUACACUCUGAUUAUAACAAAUUAUAAUUCAGUUACUUACUAUAUGGCUACAGACUAUUUCUAUCGUUUACUGUCUGUUCAAAUAUGUUCUUCAAUUACUAACUCAUCAUCCUCAACAUAUAUCACAGCCAAAACAAGGGGAGAGAAAAAUAGUUACAAAUGAAAAAUCAGAUGCUUGAAAGAUCAGUUGGAUGAAACAAAUGGCCAGGAAGCUGUUCUGUAUUGAUUUAGGCAGAGGCAUAAAAAGAUAUAAAGAGAAAUAACAGUUUUUUCCAAAUUGAUUUCCAAGGAAGAGGAAAGUAUUGUGUCAAAAGCUCCGCCUCAUCUUCGUUAUGGUGAUCUGUUGCAUUUCAAGACACAUACAUCCUUUUCUAAGAGGAACAGGUGUUAUAAAAUAGAACAUGUAUGAGAUUAAUCAAGGAACAUUAUGUUUGCUGAAAGUGAUUGAGACCAAAGGUAAAGAACGGAGGCACAUCUUGAAGUGGUACUUAUUGAGCUGGAUUAGGUGUUGCAUAGCCCCUAUAUAUAUUACAUGUUUUAAGUUAAAGAUUAUAUUUUUUUUAUUUAAGUCGAAAGUAAUAUGUCAUAUCCAAUGAUGGAAUAUAAUUUCUGUUUGCUUAUUUUGUACAAGAUAAAACUAUAAUCUUUAUUUAAUACAUUGUUCAGUUAUCAAUAAAUAUAAAAAUAUUUACCUUAA